UGGUUUGGCUCAGUGGAUAGAGCGUUGGCCUGCGGACUCAGGGGUCCCAGGUUCGAUUCUGGUCAAGCCAA
rnacentral:tRNA from 1 species